rnacentral:rRNA from 1 species
AUGGGCAUGGGCUUUGUGGCUAGGAAUCAUCUUGGGAAGUGCAUGUUUGCUGGCAAUGAGCAGCUUCAGGGCUUCUCUGAACCGGCGUUGGCUGAGGCGCUUGCCAUCCGGCGUGCUCUUGAGGUUUGUCGAUCUGAAGGCUGUUUGUCAAUUGUUUUGGCAUCUGACUGCCUCUCCAUGGUGAACAAAAUCAAGUCUACGGCUCAAGAUCGAUCAAGAGUGGGCACUGUUGUCUCGGACAUCAAGUCUCUUGCGUCUGGGUUUACUCGAUGUUCUUUCUUACAUGUCAGGCGUGGUAUGAAUGUAGCGGCACACAAACUAGCUCGUAGUUAUGAGCAUUCUGUUAAUCUUUUUUUAUCUUGGUGUGGUUCCGGAUUGUAUCAGGGACGAUCUCUGCUGUGA